GGAGUUGUAGCUCAGUGGUAGAGCGCUCGCCUCACACAUGCGGGACCCUGGGUUCGAUCCUCAGCACCA
rnacentral:tRNA from 1 species